CUUAUUUUCUAGAUCUCCUUUGAACUCCUAGUUCAAGAUCAGAACAAGAUCAGUACUGUUCAGUUUCAAGAGAGAAAAAAAAAUGUACAAAUGUAGCCAGAUGCUAUUUACCUUUUUGUCUUUCCAUGAAAUGGACAACUCAAAACUGAACAUAUGUUUCUGCAUAUUUGUUGUAAUACAGCAAUGUGUACAGUUAUGUUUGGAGAGAUCUGUGAAGCGCAGUGCGGCAGAGGGCCCCCCCCCCCAAGCUCCUGAGUGUGAGUACCUGUGCUGCAGUGAUUUGAUUUGAGCAUAUGACUGCAGGAUAUUAUUUCAUAUCAUUCAAGUCAAUGGGGAUCCUGGAGAAAAUUCAAUUGCAGCAGGACCAGUCUUUGAAGAAUGUCACUCUCCGUGUAAGGUGACAGAAAACAGUGCCUAUGAAGGCAAGAUGCUGAGAAAUGUGGAAAAUAGAGGAGCACAACUGCGGGGAGUGGAGAGUGAUGUGGAGCAGGUUCAGCUGUGGCUGGCAAAGAGUCAUGGAGCCUGAUCAAGCAGUGUGUUCAACCCACACAUGUGUCCCAAGAACUUCAGGGGAAUAGCCUUUGUGAUUUUUUUUUCACAUAAUUAAGAUUGUAUUGGGUUCUUAAACCUCUGUAUAAUCCAAUAAAGAAAAAAAUUAAAAGUUCGUUAAAUCCCCUGCAUUAAAAGAAAUCCUGCAACCUAGCUGUUUAUCUCAAAAAGCUCUUUGUAGUGCCUGAUGCUCAUGUUUUGUAAGUGUUCCCUGAAGACCAUUAUUCAUCAGCACAGAGUUCAGCGCAGUCAAAUGAGAGACUCACAGUUUGGAACUGUAUUUCUGAAAAAUCUUGCGUGUCCAUUUCUUCCCUUGGCCAAUUAAUAUAACUGACCCAGACAUCUCUCUGUUCCUGCCUGUUCUUGCCUCCUUACCCUUAUCGUGCAUGACAUGAAACAGUAU